AUGAUUAGUUCAUGGAAGAUAUGGAUCCCUUGGUCCAUGGUGGGCAUGAUGGGGAGGAACGCCUGCCUCCAUCUCCUAUCAUCCUUCACAUGCAUGGUGUCAUGUCAAACCUCAAAGGUAUAUAGUACGUGUGUGCAUGCACCACCAGACAAAACACCUAAAGCUCACCACGGCAGGCUCACUCACAUACUUACGGCGUCAAAGCCAAAGAUCCACCUUAUAUAUGCGGCGUGUGUUGCCGACAGACGGCUCAUUCCAAACACCUUGAGCUCCUCACAAGUCAUUUCUAGGAGCCUCACCAACAUGUGCAGCUCUGCUUCCUGGAACUCCUCGCCUCCUGGUGUGCUCUUCAUCAGGCAGCAGGGGAAGAAGAAGCCACAUGUCUCAAUGACUCUCAGGAGGAAGAGGUUAAUGCUGAUCAGGAGGAGGAGGGAGCUGAGGAGGGCUGCUGGAGGGGCGGAGAUGGCGAUGCUGAACCUGAGGCUCCACCUGGAGAACCGGCGCAUCCUGGCCGAGAACGAGAGGCUCCGGGAGAGGGCCGGCGUGCUCCGCCGCGAGAACCUCACGCUGCGUGCCAACCUCUGCAAGGCGGCGCCAGCGCUGGCAGAGGCCGCCCCCGGCUGCUGA
rnacentral:rRNA from 1 species